AUUCGAGGAAUGCUCGACGUGCACAUUGAGAUGCCGAACGCGGAUCGUUUGCAUACUGACCAAGAGGACUGGGACGCGCAAAUAAUUCUCGAAAACGUUGUCGAACCACAACGGCCCCGUAUUGUGCAACAUUUCAUUCCGAUUUUAUGGUCGAACGAAAAUACAAGGCAACCGUGCCAACGUUACAAUCUAAAGACUUUUGUUAACCGGGCGACUUUGACCAGCCAAUUCGAAUAUUACAGUUUACCAUUUAAAAGAAGAGAGAUCGUAACAGCCGUUCCCCACGCUCUGACCGUUCGAAUGUCAACAGAACGCAGCGAUUGUAGUGGUCGGAACAGCCAUUACGAUUUACGGCAGGACUCGUGUUUAAAAACAGCUGAAUUCUCGGCACGCCCGGUUAACAAAUUUAAAGGAAAAAAAAAGAAAGUUUUCUAACCUCGUCGGUAAUAAUCGGCGCCUUAUCCAUGUUGUCGAUGAUCGGGCUGGGUGGCGACGUGGGGCUAGCACUGGGGCUCACAUGAAACCCUUUGGACUCCUUGGUAGGCCUCUGUGGGGACACCCUCGCGGGGAAGCUCAAGGUUUUCGUCCACUGCGACAGACCACGCACCAUCUUGUCUUCGUUAAAAUUUUCACCGGACAAAACAGCGUACUCUCGGCGUGUACAAAAACAGAAUCAGCACGGUGGUGUAUAUCCGAGUUGUGGCACACGCAUGGAAACGGUCGUAGACGAACGCGCGCGCGAACCAAACGCACGCCACCGAGUUUACUGACAGACUGUUCGCAGUCCGGUCCGUCGACCGUCGGGUUCUCUCUGCGGAGCGGUCGCGUCAUGCCCGCUGGACCAGGCGCGCUGAUUGGUCGAGCCCCGUAGCAAGCGACAGGCUAUGACUGCGCGACAAGGGCCGACGCACGAGGAAAAUGGCCAACGGGGUGGGUUGCACGCGGAACGGGAGGAACAGGGACGGAACGAGCGGCGAGUCGAUGGCGCGGACGGAGACGACAACGCCGGUUUCAGAGGAGAACGAUGCAGGAGGGUUCAUCUUGUUGCUCUUUCGACUCUCUUCCUGCGAGUGAACGAAGGGAAGGAAGAGAGCGAGGUCGUCGGGAAGAUUGGAGCGAAGAGGACCGAGGAUCGGGCAGACGGUGAAUGAAGGAACGUGUGAAAGAGAUUAUCGGAUAUGUGGUACAAAUUCUAUUUAAGACUUUCAAAAGAAAAUCCUGUUUCUUCAAUAUCGACCCACCAUUUUGCCAACAUCUUCGAGAUAGCCGAUCUGGCCAACUCUGCGCAGGUGAACAGGAAAAAGGAUACAGAGUAGCUUCGGCGAGGACGCCGAAUCAACGUUCCGUUAUUAAUUUCGUAUAAUGGAGGUUCUCCUAAUUUCGUAAUUACUCAGAACCGCGCGGUCGGUCGCAGCAGGGGAUCUAGCUGCUAAUCAGGACAAUCAACGGCCCCGUCGGCGCAGGUAGCGGAAGCGGUCGCGUAUCAAAGCGGCGUGUACUUUUACUGGCACCCUUUCAGAGACAAAGAAUUUGACCGGUCGACGGGACUUGUGAUCGGCAAAGACACGCUCGUGUUGCCAACUGCAGGUU